rnacentral:lncRNA from 1 species
CCUGGCUUUGCCUGUCAUGGCCUGUUUGACCUUGAGUGAUUUACUUAAUUCCCGGAAUCUCCAGGCCCCUCAGCUAUAAAACGGAGGGCUUAGCGGAGAUGGCCCUCAGAGUCCUUCUGCCAACACUAAAAUUCUCCUCUCCUGGGGCCUCUGGUUCAAGGCUGUGCUGUAAAGCAUGAAGUGUACUUUGAUGGAUUAGGACUGAACGAACAGGACUAUAAAAGCCUUCACUGGUUACCCAGCUCCAUUGAAGACAAACAAGAAGAUGCAAGGAAAACUGAUACCUGAAGGCUAGGGUUAGCCCAGUAAAUGGAUUUCCUGAGAGGAAAAUAUGCAAAAUAACAAAAUGACUGUCUUUCUAGAAGUAGCUUUUUAAAAAGCUAAAUUUGAAUUUGCUGAGAUGAUUUAAUAAAAUGCAGCUGGCCAGCAA